GAGGUACAGCUUCAGAAAAACAAGUUCUCCCUUCUUCCACGAUGCAGCUUUAUUUCCUAGAGGCAAUUCUAGUAAGCCUUGCUAUAGCUGAAUGAUUUUUAGUGGUGCUGUUUGCUUAAAGGACCUGGGUAAUCCAUCCUGGAUAUAGAAGUGCAUUCAUCUUUUCUAGCAGCAGGCACUAUGAAAAGCUGUUUUAUUUCCCAGUCUGAUUUCUCUUCAAGCUCAGAUAUGUGCUCUCCAGCUAUAUAAGUAGUGACAAUGGGUACUCUCUGCCUGGUUUGUAUGGUGGUUAUUAAGGGCCUUGUGAGACUUCUAUGCUGAAAAAUAUUCCAGGGAUUCACUUUUAUUCUUAUGCUUACAACUGAGAUAUGUAACUUUCAGCCGAAGGAGUUAAUUUACUGUCUCGUUCAGCAUCAGAACACAUGGCACAUGGCUACAGUGAAGAGAAUAUUCAGGUUUCUGGGAUCUGACCUGCUUGGAAAACCAUUGUGUACCUGCUUGUCCUCAAGAGGAACCCGAAGUUCUGCAGAACGAUCAUUUUGCUGUUGCAGGAGGUGCCUUUGAUUAGCUUCUAAGAUUUGUUCAAAUUUGUCCCUCGUAUAGAGCAUGUUCUCAAGUUACGGCUUGUCAGCUGAGCUGCGGUAACUGACUCUACAUUCCUCAUUUGCCGAGUGGAAUAUGCUAAUUCAAACCACCUUUAGAGGAGUUCAUAUUAAAGAGUUGCUCUUCACAGUGACAGCACACAAGCAGACAUCAGCUCAACUUGAAAGCAGCAACUUUGCAGGCAGAGGAGCGUCUCUUUUACUAUCAGCAUCCCACAAUUUAAAUCAAGAAAGAACUUGGCAAUUACAUUUUCUCAAUGUCCCUUCUCUGCUCAGUGUUCUCAGGCUGAAGGCAUUGACACAUUUUCUUCUCUGUGAACUGCUCAACCACCAGGGAUUAAAGUGAGCAUAGAACAACACAAAGCUGAAUCGAUGCUCCUUUUCACAUCCCCAUUGAGAGAUCAGAGGAGUUACCAUAGAACAGAGAGAAGGUUGGUAACAGGCAAAAGAAAAAUGAAAAUAGAGAAAUAAAGAGCUGGAGGAUGGAGGAGAGCAACAGAAUCUGAGGGUGGCAAGUGAAACAGAAGUUGGGCAUGGCGAAAAGCAAUAAUAUGUGACACAUAUUGCAGCAGAUUUGAACCUCAGAGGAACCGUUGACAUUAUUCUGUACUCAUUCUCCCCCCCAGGACUCCAACUCAUUUCAAGAGUCUUUCCUCAGGCCCUGAGACUCAUAUCAGGAACCAAAAACCUCUCUGGCUCCGCUGUCAGCAAAAACCAAGGUAACCACCUGUCAAAGCAUUUGUCACCACCCUCUGUGGGGCAGACACACACAAACUGCUGCCACAAGCUGCCUGUCUCUUUAAGGGGUAGAGAUCUGUCAAAGUAUGUAUGUGGCAGGUAAAGCUAUUGAUCUGA